AAAAACUGCAUUCGGGUUUCAGCUCUGUUUUCUCUCGUUCCCUCUUAUUUCUCUCUCAUUGCGAUCUAAAGAACCCACUCUCUCUCUCUCUCAAUCGCUGCUUUCAUCGAUACACGGAUCUCUCUCUUAUUCGCGAUCUCCUAAAACCCGUGAGACCUCUUUAUAUCCAUUUCCCUUUUUCUUUCAUUUGUUUUCAGCAAAUUAGGGUUUCCGAUUACAAAAUAAAAUAAAAUAAACUCUCAGGUUCUAUCAAAUUCUUUUGAAUGACCUUGCUAUUAAAAGUGAAUUAUGACAUCAAGCAUGUUAUCUGGAGAGAAAAGAUGGGCUUCUGCAAGAAGAGGUGGUAUGACUGUGUUGGGCAAAGUUGCUGUUCCAAAACCUAUAAACUUACCCAGCCAAAGGUUAGAAAAUCACGGUCUUGAUCCAAAUGUUGAAAUUGUUCCCAAGGGUACUCAUAGUUGGGGCAGUAGAUCAUCUUCUUCCUCAUCAAAUGCAUGGGGUUCUGCCACUCUGUCUCCUAAUGCUGAUGGAGGUACUGGUUCACCAAGUCACCUCAGUGGCCGCCCUUCAUCCAGUGGAACUGGGACUCGACCAUCAACUGCUGGUAGCGAGAGAACCCACGACCCUGUUACUAAUGCAUGGGGUUCAAAUUCUAGGCCAUCAUCGUCUUCUGGAGCAUUGACAUCAAAUCAGACAUCCCACCCAGCGUUGCGCCCCCGCAGUGCAGAAACACAACCUGGUAGCUCACAGUUAUCCCGGUUUGCUGAACCUUUGUCGGAUAACUCAGUGGCAUGGAGUGGAACUGGAACAUCAGAAAAGUUGGGAGUGACAUCCUCUAAGGUUGAUGGGUUUUCUUUGACUUCUGGAGAUUUUCCGACUCUUGGCUCUGAAAAAGACAUUUCUGCAAAAAAUAUAGACUCUCAAGAAUAUGCAUCUCAGGGUCGUCCUGGUUCUUCAGCUGGAUUGGCAUCGGGCAAAGAGGGGACUAGGGAUUCUGCAGGCGAGGUUUCUGUAAAUGUGAAUACGAAGAUUGGAGCUGCAGGUUCCUGGAGAAAAGAUAAUUCUACGUAUGGUGAAGAUGGACCCAGGUCUAAUGCAGAGAAGUGGCAUGCUGAUUCCCAAUCAUAUCCUAACUCUAGUAUUCCCCCUCAGCAUUAUGAUGCUUGGCACGGUCCACCUGUAAAUAACCAUCCAACUGGUGUUUGGUAUAGAGGGCCACCAGGAGGUCCUCCAUUUGGGUCUCCAAUUGCACCUGGGGGCUUUCCCAUGGAACCAUUUCCUUAUUACCAUCCACAGCUUCCCCGUCCUGCGCUUGCCAAUCCACAGCCUGUUCCCCCACCAGGCGCUGGACGACCUAGGGGCCCCCACCCAAAGAAUGGAGAUAUGUACAGACAUCACAUGCAUGAUGCUUACAUUCGACCUGGCAUGCCGCUUAGGCCUGGGUUUUAUCCUGGACCAGUUCCUUAUGAUGGAUAUUAUGGUCCUCCCAUGGGCUACUGCAAUUCUAAUGAACGAGAUGCUUCAUUUAUGGGGAUGGCAAUGGGCCCUAAUGCCUACAACAGGUAUCCUGGUCAAAAUGUUCCUGAUCCUGGUAAUUCCCAUGGAAGAACCAGUGGAUAUGGUCCUAGUAGUAAGGCAAUGGUUUCAGAACAAAUAGAAGCUGUUCAACCUCAAGACCCUCGAGGACCGUACAAAGUUCUUCUGAAGCACCAUGAUAGUUGGGAGGGAAAAGAUGAGGAGCAGAAGUGCGAUGAUUUGAUAAAAACUAAUCCCCCAUAUUCUCUAAAUGAGCAUUCAAGAAAGUCAUCAUGGGAGAAUGGGCGGAGGGCAGAUAACAAGAAGGAUGAUGAUGUAGAUGCAAGAAGAGUGCUAGUUGGUGAAGGUGCUUCAUCUGAGACUGUUGACAAUCAAGUUGUUCCUAUGAAAGUGAAGUCACCUGAACAUAUGGGAUAUGUGAAUCCAUAUAGUGACGGUUUAGGUAAAAAGAAAUUUGAACAUGCAGCUACCAUUCCAGAAGUGCCAACUGCUCCAAAAGAUUCUAGCUUGAUUCAGAAAAUAGAAGGCUUAAAUGCUAAAGCCCGGUCAUCGGAUGGCCGACAAGAUUCUAAAUCUGUUUCAGGUAGGGAGGAGCAGAUGAAUAAACUGGAAGUUGGUAAUGCCUUGGCCAGUCGUGCUACAAAUGAAGUUGGUUUUGACUCUUUAUCCCAUGAGAGGACUCGAUCUGGUGGAAUUAACAAUACUGCACCACAAGAAGACCGCUUUUCUUCUGGAGAUAAGAUCCUUGAAUCUGCAGUAGUCAGUGGAACAACUAUCUCCAGGAGAUCUGCUCAUGGCAUGCAUGGUAGAACUGACCAUCGCGGUAAAGGAAGAGUUAAUACACCAGAGACUGAUGGCUGGAGGAAAAAAUCUGAUAUUGUAGACCUACAAAAUGCGGCAUCAACUGUACACAAUGAAAUAUCUUCUGUUUCUGUCGGGCAACACCAUAUUUCUGCAGAUGCCGGUCAGAAUUUUGGGUCACAACCUUCAGGAAAGGACAAUUUGGAGUCCAUACCACCUGUUUCUGAUCCAAGUGACAGCCAGCGUGUUAAGAUGAGAGAGCUAGCCAAGCGACUUAAACAGCGAGAGAAGGAAGAAGAAGAACGAUUAAGAGAGCAGAGGGCCAAGGCUCUUGCUAAAUUGGAAGAGUUGAACAGGAGAACACAAGCAGGGGAAGUUGCAACUGAGAAGUUGGAAACUGCUCCUACCAGCAAUAUCCAGAACAAGAAAGAUGAAUCCUUAAAUCUUAGUCAGCAAACUGCUGCUUCAAGCAAAUCUGGAGCAUCAAGUUCAUCUUUAGGUUCCAAGACAAAUACAAUAGCACAGAGUAGGCAUAAGGAAUCCACGGCUGCUGAUCCACCAAGUGCAGUUACUGACAAACCUAGAGCAUCAAGCUCAGCCCGGGAUUCUAGCCUAAGUAUGGUUGCUCAGAACAGUGGAAGUAGUGUGAAUAGAGUAGAGAAAUCCACCAGCGUGGCAAGCACUGCACUUCUGGAACCAAAAACUGCACACUUUGAAUCCGGUGUGGUGCAUGAGCAAUUGAAGUCUUUCCAACAGGAUGGUAGUAAUGCUGAUGCUGCUCGCGCCGGUAGUACUUCACGGGUUCAUGACAGUAGUGCUUCUAAGCAGAAGCGUACAGGCUAUAGACAAAAGCACAAUGCCCUGGGAAAGAAUUCCAGUGAGAAGUCUUUUUCUUCUUCUGCAACUGACACAUCAAAAAUUCAUACUGAUUUUGCAACUGUCACAUCAAAAGUUGAUAAUGAUAUUGCAGCUGAUGCUGCUACAUCUUCUGAGAGUGUUGCCGAAGAAUUCGUCUCAAACUGUGAGUCAAAUUUGUCUGUCAAUUUGAGUCUGACGGCUGAGUCUUCAGCGCAUACUAGAAGGAAGAACAAGAGUGGUAAGAACAAGCACAAAUUGGAGGAGGCAUCAUCUGCAACAUCUUCAGCAUCAAAAGUAUCAAAGGAUAUGACUACUUUGGACACUUUGGUCGAAAGUGCCAAGCCAAAGCCUUCUGAAGCAAUGUUGGAUCUUAACUCGGGCCUGUCCCAAAUCGAAUUGAAGGAUGCAAACCAGUCCUCGGAAUUGUGCUAUGAAGAAGCUCAUAAUAGAGUAAAUAAUCAGUGGAAAUCUCAUCAUCAUCGCAGGAUGAUGAGAAACCAACAAGGUAAUAAAUCAGCUGAGAAAAAUCACAAUGGUGAUGCUGUUGUCUGGGCUCCUGUGCGGUCGCAAAAUAAAACUGAGGUUUCUGAUGAACCCAAUCAGAAUACUAUAGUUGAGUCUAUGGUUUUGUCAUCAAAGAGUGAUCAACAGGCACAGAACAAUCCAAGAAACAAGAGGGCAGAAAUGGAGAGAUACAUUCCGAAACCUGCAGCCAAAGAAUUGUCUCAGCAAGCAGUUGUUUCUUUAACCAAUCAGAUUACAUCAGAUGAGAUUGUUGAAAGGCCUGGAUCUGUGGAUACUGAAAGUUCCCAAACCUCUGGUACAACUAUGGGAAAGGCAGGUCUCAGCGUGGAGUCUAGGAAUGGGGAUGGUAGGCAGAACAAGUCUGGGAAAGUGCACGGAUCAUGGCGACAACGGGGUGUAGCCGAGUCAACUACAAAUCCUAGCAGGAGUUUUCAAAAAUCAAUGGAAGAUCAUCAACACCAGAAGCCUGAUUUAUCUUCCAUGAAAGAGCAACCAGGGCAUCCUGAUGAAUGGAAUUUUUCUGAUGGUUGGAACAUGCCUGAAAAUCCUGAUACAGCUGUUACCCUUCCUGUUUUAAAAGAUCAGGGUUUGGUUGCUAGGGGAAAGCGGCAACCACAUAAGGGUCACAAAGCCAAUCACAAUCCUGAUGAGAAGAGAACUGGUGGCGGAGACACUGAGAAGGUGUAUUUUCAACCUACAGCUCCUAAAAUGCAUCAAAAAGACUCAUUUGUAGCUUCAAAAGAAAAUCAUGCUGUUGGGGAACAAUCAACAUCUCAUUGGCAGCCUAAGUCUCAGUCAUUUUCAUCCACUAAUCAACUAGGAAGCCGGCCUAAUAACAGUGUGAAUGUAGGCCCUGAAGGUGUUAGGGCUAAUAAAAAGGAGUCAACUCAGGGUGGGGGGUUGCUGCCUCAACCAGAUAAGGAUACAAUUAGGCAUCAUUCUCAUCAUGAUCAGUCUCCAUUCGAGAGUGGCAAUUUGGAAGAAGGUCCAGCUGUUGGACAUCAAGAACCUAAGAGAGAAAGGAAGAUUGGUGGACACAGAGGACGCCCUGGUAGUCCCAUCGAAUCUUCAUCCCACUCAAAUAUGGAUGGCGGACAAGACCAUCGCAUGUCUUCGGGCUUCCGGAAAAGUGGAAAUCUGAAUAACCGUUUUGGUAGAGAGCAUGAUUCUUGGGGAGAUUGGAAUGGAUCUGGAAAAGAUAACAAGCAACAACAUAAUGCAUCAGCAAUCAGGGAAAGCCAGAGACAUAAUUCCCACUAUGAAUACCAGCCAGUUGGGCCCCAGAAAAAUAACAAAGCAAACAACUUUGAACCUCCAAAAGAGGGAUCUCAUAAUUCUGGUGGAAGGUAUAGAGAAAGAGGUCAGACAAGGCGUGGUGGUGGAAACUUUUAUGGACGACAAAGUGGCGGUAUUCAAAUAGAUUCUGGUUAUGAGUAGGGGGUGAAAUUCAGUGGUAGGUCUUUUACAAUGUCAAAUCAAAAACCAGCCUACAUAGAUAUUGUGGCUCGAACCCUUGUACUUCAAGGGCUUGGAGCUUAGAGCUUAGAGAUGGUGCGGAGGGCAAAAAAAAAAUAUUGAGAUGAUGGAGAGACACUUGACGUGGUUGAUUUGUUUCCAUAAUUUUUUUCUUUAAAAAAAAUGCGAUCUGACGUGGAAAGGUUUAAUUUGGUCACAGUAUGGUUUUCUGUGGAACCCCAUGAAAUGUGGUGAUAUGGUUUUGAGCGGUGUAUGUUUUAUUACUUUGCUCUCUUAUGUAUGGAACACCAGAAAGAAUGAAAUAGAUAGGAUCGUUUCUGGGUUCUGCCAUUUAAUCUUGAGCCUUUAUUUGCUGCUGUGCACGUUAAUUCAGAAUGAUGGCUGCUUGCCAUGCAUUUUAACCAUUCAAAUUUCUGGUUAGGUUGUAUAUAUUUUAACUGUCUUGUGUUUAUGUCAAGUGGGGCAUUAUGUUCUGGAUC